GAACGGGUGAGUACACGUGGGUGAUCUGCCCUGCACUUUGGGAUAAGCCUGGGAAACUGGGUCUAAUACCGAAUAGGACUACGCGAUGCAUGUCGUGUGGUGGAAAGCUUUUGCGGUGUGGGAUGGGCCCGCGGNCNNNCAGCUUGUUGGUGAGGUUACGGCUCACCAAGGCGACGACGGGUAGCCGGCCUGAGAGGGUGACCGGCCACACUGGGACUGAGAUACGGCCCAGACUCCUAUGGGAGGCAGCAGUGGGGAAUAUUGCACAAUGGGCGCAAGCCUGAUGCAGCGACGCCGCGUGAGGGAUGACGGCCUUCGGGUUGUAAACCUCUUUCGCCAGGGACGAAGCGCAAGUGACGGUACCUGGAGAAGAAGGACCGGCCAACUACGUGCCAGCAGCCGCGGUAAUACGUAGGGUCCGAGCGUUGUCCGGAAUUACUGGGCGUAAAGAGCUCGUAGGUGGUUUGUCGCGUUGUUCGUGAAAACUCACAGCUCAACUGUGGGCGUGCGGGCGAUACGGGCAGACUGGAGUACUGCAGGGGAGACUGGAAUUCCUGGUGUAGCGGUGGAAUGCGCAGAUAUCAGGAGGAACACCGGUGGCGAAGGCGGGUCUCUGGGCAGUAACUGACGCUGAGGAGCGAAAGCGUGGGGAGCGAACAGGAUUAGAUACCCUGGUAGUCCACGCCGUANACGGUGGGUACCAGGUGUGGGUUUCCUUCCUUGGGAUCCGUGCCGUAGCUAACGCAUUAAGUACCCCGCCUGGNGAGUACGGCCGCAAGGCUAAAACUCAAAGAAAUUGACGGGGGCCCGCACNNNCGGCG
rnacentral:rRNA from 1 species